ensembl:lncRNA
CCCAAAUGGUGAAAAUAGCAUUUAGGAAUGGAAAAUUAUUUAUUAUUUGAAAAUGGUAAUCAGAAUUUGAAUAAUAAAGAAUUUCAAUUCUGUGUUUUAUGAAGUGUGAAACAGUUAGAAAAGAGAUAUUUUGCUAAUAUGUGUAAGGAAGAUUAAUACUGCAUCAAAAAUUUUGGUUGAAACCUAAUGUCAUAUUUCUCUUGAAAUAUAAAUGAUAAAGAUUCUCAGAUUAUGAAAUACCUAUUUUUUCUAACAGAAGAAACAGAAUUUUUGGCAAUUAGAGGGUUUUCUUUUGGUUUAUUUUUUAUUAUAAAGUCAUGCAUAAACAUUGCAAGACUUUGGAAAAUAUUUAAACUUAGAAUGAUGUCUUAAAAUUUUGAGAACUACUAUAGGCAGUUUUCUUUUAUUACCUGGUUUUCCCAUGCUAAACUAGGAAUUUUAACUCAGUAUGUCAUGAAAACGGAAAAGUUGAGAGCCUCUAUGUAGCUCCCUUGAAGAAAGGUGCUCUAGUAGUAGUAUGGCUUCACUGAUGCGAAAAAUCAGCUAUGUCUGGGGAAUUUCCAGGAAUCGUCUCAAUGUUUAGAAUUAAGGAUAAGUAAAAUAUAAAUUAAAAGGUAACUAAUCCAUGUUUAUCUCAAUUUAAAAUUCAUAAUUUUAUUUAAUGCCAUAUAAUGUGUAUAGCAUCUGACAAUGCAUAUGAUGAGGAAGUGUGAUGGAUCUAAUUUAUGUUUAAUCAAGUGUUUUAUAACUGUUUUAUUUAGGGCCCCAAAGGAGAUCCGGGUUUUUCCCCAGGUCAAGCCAUUUCUGGAGAAAAGGGGGACCAAGGCCUUUCCGGACUCGGGGGGCCGCCGGGCGAGCGGGGCGCCAAGGUAAGGCCUCGUCUGGCUGGGGCGCGGCCGCGCCGUGGGCGUGGGGCUGUCAGCCCCCCGCGAGUCUCGUUUCCCAGUUGCUUCCAAAGUCGGUGUCUUAAACCCGAUCCUCAGCAAGAGGCCUUAGAACGCGGCCUCAGCCGGGAGGGCGGGCGCGGGAGGUGGAAGAAAACCCUGCACAUGGCGAUGGCGAUGGCGACGUUCACACGUAGGAGAGAGUCACUGAUGGAGUUAUUGAAGCUUUUCUCAUAAAAAAAAAUAUAUAUGUAUGUAUUCUAUAUAGUAACAUAUGUAUGUCAGGGCACUAAUCUGCUUGUGAAUCUUGGAAGUCCCUUGUGAGUUUUACGUGUCCAGAAUGAGGUACACUUGGACGUAGGUAAUACACUUGGAUCUUUUUGUUUCUAAUUUUAUUAAAAAAUAAUCUUCUCUGCUAUGAAAUAUGUAUAUAUAGGGCCUGAAGAGUAGAAUGAGGGUUGGGAAUAGGUACAAAAAAAAAGAAAAAAAUAGUAGUCAAUUGCAUAUUAGUAGGCUUUUUCUGAGGUAAAAAGGAGUAGUAACACCACUGCUCUGAUUAUUUCAUAAAACAUGUUGAGUAGUUUCCUGAAUUAACACAAGUAUAAGUUAUCUUCUGUAUUUAGCUUGUCUUUUCCCCAAACACUGAUUUUCUCCAGGAGGUAAGAAGAUACAAAAUUCCUUUUUAAGGUAUUAAAGAC